GACCUUUCAGGAUUCCACCUGGAGAGUUUCCAGUACUCUAUCAGUUUCACCUACAGGAGGAAAAGUCAAGAAGAGGCCUACCCAUUCCAUUCCUAGCUUGGCCAGUGGCUAGUGAGUGGAGGGCAAUCUGCUACAAGU